CGAAAGCCUGACGGAGCAACGCCGCGUGGGGGAAGAAGGUUCUUGGAUUGUAAACCCCUUUUCUCAGGGAAGAAGAUCUGACGGUACCUGAGGAAUCAGCCUCGGCUAACUCCGUGCCAGCAGCCGCGGUAAUACGGAGGAGGCAAGCGUUAUCCGGAAUUACUGGGCGUAAAGCGUCCGUAGGGGGCUCGUCAAGUCUGCUGUCAAAGACCGAGGCUCAACCUCGGGUCGGCAGUGGAAACUGGAUAGCUAGAGGUCGGUAGGGGCAAAGGGAAUUCCCAGUGUAGCGGGGAAAUGCGUAGAUAUUGGGAAGAACACCGGUGGCGAAAGCGCUUUGCUGGACCGAACCUGACGCUGAGGGACGAAAGCUAGGGGAGCG
rnacentral:rRNA from 1 species